AUUGAACGCUGGCGGCAUGCUUUACACAUGCAAGUCGAGCGGUAACAGGCCUUCUGCUCCUGACUUGUGGCGCGCGGGUGAGUAAUACGCCGGGACGUCCCCCUGGGAGUGGGGUAACGCGGCCGGAGAUGGGCUCUUAUCGCACGUGCGCUGAGGGUGAGAACGGGGGGCCACUUAGCACCUUUUGGCCUCGGGCCUUUGGAGGUGCCGAUGUCGGAUUAGGUAGUUGGUGGGGUAAAGGCCUACCAAGCCGACGAUCUGUAGCUGGUCUGAGAGGACGACCAGCCACACUGGAACUGAGACACGGCCCAGACUCCUACGGGAGGCAGCAGUGGGGAAUUUUGGACAAUGGGCGCAAGCCUGAUCCAGCAAUGCCGCGUGUGUGAAGAAGGUCUUCGGAUUGUAAAGCGCUUUUAGAUGGGAGGAAGAGCAGUAAGUUAAUACCUGGCUGUGUUGACGGUACCGAAAGAAUAAGCACCGGCUAACUACGUG
rnacentral:rRNA from 1 species